UGGGGAAUAUUGGACAAUGGGCGCAAGCCUGAUCCAGCCAUGCCGCGUGAGUGAUGAAGGCCCUAGGGUUGUAAAGCUCUUUCACCGGUGAAGAUAAUGACGGUAACCGGAGAAGAAGCCCCGGCUAACUUCGUGCCAGCAGCCGCGGUAAUACGAAGGGGGCUAGCGUUGUUCGGAUUUACUGGGCGUAAAGCGCACGUAGGCGGACUUUUAAGUCAGGGGUGAAAUCCCGGGGCUCAACCCCGGAACUGCCUUUGAUACUGGAAGUCUUGAGUAUGGUAGAGGUGAGUGGAAUUCCGAGUGUAGAGGUGAAAUACGUAGAUAUUCGGAGGAACACCAGUGGCGAAGGCGGCUCACUGGACCAUUACUGACGCUGGGGUGCGAAAGCGUGGGGAGCAAACAGG
rnacentral:rRNA from 1 species